CAGAAAGUUGCUGUAAAAACAAGAGGAACAGUGUUGUCUGCCUACGCCUCGUACCGCUGAUCUCUUACCGUGAUUGCGGAUUGUUCUGAUGAGAAGGGAAGUUACAAGGGCCACAGAUGAUGAACUCCAGCUAGUGAGGUUAAUCAAAAUUUCAGCAGUUCUUCACAGCCCAGUGGAAUCAUCACAGACCCGUUAUAUUUAGCUGAGUGAUGCUGCUUUGUAUUCAUGUUUUGAGCUAUGGAGGUGAUCACAUCAGUUAGGUGGAUGCUGAGCAGCUGUGGGAUUGGAUGAAAGACUUAUGAAAUUCCCUGGAGAAAGCGGGAGGCUCUCCAAGUAACACAAAGGCAGUAGUGAUCAAGAAGCAGGAAAAUGUCUAUGCUGGGAAGGAACUGUAGAAAUCGUUAUACAUGCCAAAUCUGUCAAGAAUAAUACUUACUAUUAGCAGUAUGUUAUGCAGUUAUCAUCAGAUCACAGUGAAGUAGUGACAGCAAGUUUAACAAGAUGUUUAUGUAAUUAAUCCUUUGGUUGAUGUAUUGUUUGUAAAGUACUACAAUGGUAGUGAAACUGUCAUGCCUCCAGUGAGGCCUCUUAAAUGAAAUAAAAACAAGUCAGUACAUGGUUGUACCGACAUUGAGGAUGUACAAUUCUACAUGGUGCUGCUCUAUUCACCAUGCU